rfam:Homo sapiens chromosome 14, GRCh38 reference primary assembly.
GCUGGGUGUGGUGGUGUGCACCUGUAGUCCCAGCUACUCUGGAGGCUGAGGUGGGAGGAUCACUUGAUCCCAGGAGUCCAAGGUUGCAGUGAACUGUGAUUGUGCCACUGCAUUCCAGCCUGGGUGACAGAGUGAGACCUUGUCUCAA